rnacentral:tRNA from 1 species
GCGUCGGUGGCAGAGCGGUCAAUUGCAAUAGACUGUAAAUCUAUCGCCUUCGGGCUACGGAGGUUCGAAUCCUCCCCGGCGCACCA